rnacentral:rRNA from 1 species
GCUUACGACCAUACCACCCUGAGAACGCCCGAUCUCGUCUGAUCUCGGAAGCUAAGCAGGGUCGGGCCUGGUUAGUACUUGGAUGGGAGACCACCUGGGAAUACCAGGUGCUGUAAGCU